UCGAACACUGGUGGUCCAACU
rnacentral:piRNA from 1 species